GACGAACGCUGGCGGCGUGCUUAACACAUGCAAGUCGAGCGGUAAGGCCCUUUCGGGGGUACGACGAGCGGCGAACGGGUGAGUAACACGUGGGUGACCUGCCCUCAGCUCUGGGAUAAGCCUGGGAAACCGGGUCUAAUACCGGAUAUGACUCCAUGACGCAUGUUGUGGGGUGGAAAGCCUUGUGCGGCUGAGGAUGGGCCCGCGGCCUAUCAGCUUGUUGGUGGGGUGAUGGCCUACCAAGGCGACGACGGGUAGCCGGCCUGAGAGGGCGACCGGCCACACUGGGACUGAGACACGGCCCAGACUCCUACGGGAGGCAGCAGUGGGGAAUCUUGCGCAAUGGGCGAAAGCCUGACGCAGCAACGCCGCGUGGGGAUGAAUGCCU
rnacentral:rRNA from 1 species